rnacentral:lncRNA from 1 species
AAAAAAAAAUCAACCAAACUUGGAGGAAAAAACAAUCAAACCGACGUUAAACUUUCGAAUAAAAUGUCAAAAGAGACCAGGAAAUGAUUGGCCUUAGCGAUUCCUCACUCCGUGUUCAUAGCUAACCAAGAGUGAGCUUAUUCAAGCGGAUAAGGUAACGACAGACAAGGUGACAACAGUAGUUACUUGUGUAGCAGCAAGAACGAACACCCCUCAAAGACUAGCACCGUCUUCUCUUCGUCCUGAAAACAUCUGCAGAGCUAAGCCCGGAAGUCACGGAACUCUAAUUGCGAAGUUCGUUCUCGAUUAGUUAUGUGCGGAGGGAGAGAACGGUGCAAUUGCCCCAGACCAAGUCUCAUCUCCUACUCCAAGGGGCUUCACACUCUGGGAGUUCCUUCUACUUGACCAGCUUAUUCGUAUUUUUUUGAAUUACCAGACCUCUAUAGGUAUUGUCUUCCAAAUUCAGAUUAGGCUUUA